AGCCCUUGUGAUGAAGAUAGAACAAGUCUGGGGAGGCUUUGGCAUUUCUGCACAAUGCUGCUUCCUGAUUGUGACCCAAGACGCAGAUUCUGAACUAGGCAAAUAUCCCAAACUCCAGAUUACAUCUGAUCUUCAUCUCUGAUCUGAAAAGCUUCGCAGGCCAAAAGAGAAUUGAGAUGAGGAGUGAAAUACAGAAUGCUGGUGAAUCUUUCCAGUUGCCACCCAAACCACUUGGCGAGCCAAGCCAAAUCACCGAAAAUGGAAGUAGUGGAACUACUUCCAAACCGUGCUGCUGCUUCUAAACCAAACUGCGGUGUAGGUGGGGACAGAGCAAGGGGACACAACCCAGCCAGGGCGAAAUUGAAAGUCACCUGUCUGAGCCGCGGAAGGAAGUCAGCGCUUCCCAGUUUGAGACUGUUCCCUGACUGGUCCCACAGCAGCUGGAACGCUUCCGAUUGCUGCUGAUGGAUUCCCAUGGAUCAGCCAGUGACACAAGCUGCCAGAGCGACUGAAGCGAUCUGGAGUUACGCUUCUCCCCUUCUGCGUUCAGAUCCGUGAAAGGAAGGAGAAGAGGGGAGAAGAAGAGGGGAGAAGAGAAGAGAGGGGGAAAGAAAAGGACAAGAAGGGAGGGAAGGGAGGGAAGGGGAGGGAAGG